ACUGAGGCAUUGAUUCCCAAGUGGAGUGCCAGGGCACUCUGGUGGGAAAUAUGGCACAACAUUUUUUUGAUUUUCCUGCCCAGACCUGUGCACCUGUGAGUUACAGGCGUGCAGGCCAGGCGGGAGGAAGUCUGUGUGCAGUGCAGGGACGGGUGAUGCUGCAGCUCAAAUCCUCGUGUAUCCUCCCUCUCCUGUGGAGCAGCUCUGGACUCUGGAUUCUCCCUGGUCCCUCAGCAGAAUGAUGUGGAUGGUGGGGGCGGUGCUGACAGAGGCCUACUCAGCUUCAGGCACUCCUGCUCUGCGCAUCAUUUGAAGACACAGGCAGCAGCACUUGAAUAAAGUUUCCCUGACAUAUGGCUCUGCCUGCUGCACAGGAAGAGGAACGAGGCUGAGAGCUGGCAGGUCUCCUAGGAACACUGCAGUGUGGGCCACUUCAUGUGAGGGUUUAAUAUAUCUGUUUACAGGAUUUAAAUAUUUAGUGCCAAGAACCAUAAUGGGAUCCUGUCAGGACAAAGCAUGGAACACACCGUAGGCCUUCUUUCCUACUUGCAUGGUCAUACUUGGAGGAUGGCUUGGUCCAGGCAGACUAAUAGUUGUCUCAUAUCCUUGACAUUUAUUUAACAAAUUAAAGAUAAGUUCUUGUAUCCAUCCUUGACUGAUACAUUUUAAUACCCUUGUUGUUUUUUUCUCUUUGUUUCAACUUUAAAACUCUUGACUGCACGCUGGUAACCUAUGGGACUACAAAUGGUGGCCCUACAACUGUAAUAAAUGUAUACAUUUUGUUUGUUCUGUACUUUUCUGUUUAUCUAUCCUAUAAGCAUAAAACUAAAUAUUUUUUUAUACUACCGUUGUUCAUUGUUGUUACGAAAUAAAGUAGCCCGUAUAAAGGAAAACUGUCAGUAAACUCCCCCUGCACUAAGUAGGGUAGUGCGGGGGACGCUGAUCAAUAUGCUGCCUACCAUGCCCGU